rnacentral:rRNA from 1 species
CGCGUAGGCGGCUCGGCACGUCCGUUGUGAAAUCGCCCGGCUCAACUGGGCGGGGUCAGCGGAUACGGUCGAGCUUGAGCAAGCUAGGGGGCAAUGGAAUUCCCGGUGUAGUGGUGGAAUGCGUAGAUAUCGGGAGGAACACCAGUGGCGAAGGCGGUUGCCUGGGGCUUUGCUGACGCUGAUGCGCGAAAGCGUGGGGAGCGAUCC